rnacentral:lncRNA from 1 species
GGGCCAACAGGGAUAGUAGCAAGCAGCGGAAACUGUCCCUGAAGCCAAAUGGAGCCUUCCCUUGGUCACCGUGGCUUUUUGGAUCACCACAUUUUCCUAGUUUUUCUACAAAUCAAUUUUCUUCAAGGAGAAGCGUUUGAAUUUUUAGCUGGUACAAACAAACAAACAAACAAACAAACCAACCAACCAACCACCACCAGCCACUGCAGAGGCUACGGAAGCUCACUCAGUCUAAGGUAGCCAGCUUGUGCCUCCGGCGGCCCGGGAAGGUCACUAUGGGAUAGGAAAAGAGUUCACAAAAGU